AAUAAAGUCUACAAGUUUCGUAGUGACCUGCGGAGGAUCAUUAAAAUGGUGUGGCCUUUAUUGUUGGUCACCAUUAAUAAUCUACCUUUGUGAAUUGUUUGUGUAAUAUUUUUUCCAAUGAAAAUUAUUGUCUAUCCCUGAAGAAUAGUUGUAAAGUUAUUUUUAGGAGCAGAUUUAAUAAUUUUUCAGUGAAAGACCUUUUUUUAAAUUAAACUUUGUAUUCAUUGUCUAAAUUGUAAAAAUAAUUAAAACAACUUUUGACAAUGGAUCUCUUGGUUCUCGCACGAUGACGAACGCAGCAAAAUGCGAUAAGUAAUGUGAUUGCAGAAUACGUGACAUCAAAUCUUCGAACGCAUAUGCACUUUUUUAGUUUACUAAAAGUAGUCUGUUUGAGUAUCAGUAAAUAUUCUCAUAAAAGCGUUGCGUUUUAUGGUUAGAGUGUUUUACAACGAUAACAAGUUGUUCACUUUAAAUUCAUUUUAAGCCGUUUUAAUGGUUUUAAAAUAAUUAAAUGGAUAAAAUUUCCCGUAAAAGGAGUAACUAUUUCAGUUUAGUUUUUUAAUCCAAGCCAAACAAAGAAUUUCAAAUACAAUCACUGAUCUCAAAUCAAUAAGAUACCGCUGAACUUAAGCAUAUAAUAAGCGGAGGAAAAGAAACUAACAAGGAUUCCUUAGUAACGGCGAGUGAACGGGAAGAGCUCAAUUGAAAUUUCAAGGUUCUACUUGACAAUUGUAGUUAAGAAGUGUUUCUGUUGCGGAGUGGCAAAGUCUUUGAAUAGACAUCAUAGAGGUGAGAUCCGUAUUUGGUCAUUCUUCUAGCUUGUGAUACACUUUCAAAGAGUCGGAUGUUUGGAAUGCAGUCCAAAUGGGUGGUAAAUUUCAUUAAAGCUAAUCUGGCGAAGACCGAUAGCGAACAAGUACCGUGAGGAAAGAUGAAAAGAACUUUGAAAGAGAGUUAAACAGUACGUGAAUUGUCAAAGGGAGCGUUGACCCAGUGUUGUUGUGGAGAAAUCAAUUGUGUGGAACGGGUUUGUGGGUUGAGACCUUAUCAGCUUCCUUACUCUUACCUUUUCACGCAAUGCACUUCUCUUUAACAAGUCAACAUCAAUUUCUUUUGUUGUAAAAGGUCAGCGGAAGUGGCUUCUUUCGGAAAGUGUUUAUAGCCGUUGAUCUCUACAAUCGGAGAGAUUGAGGUCUGCAGUGUAGAUCCUUCGGGUGGAUACGUCGGUGCUAAGUUAUAAUCCUAUAUAGACACUUGUGACUAUUCGAUCUUGUAGCUUACUCGCUGGCGCUAUUUACCUACGCUUAGGAUGU
rnacentral:misc_RNA from 1 species